rnacentral:misc_RNA from 1 species
UUUGGUUUUAUCACAGCCAACCACAACAAAUGUAAGGGGAGGACGGCAUUCGUCCCGUCUGCCGAAUAUGUUCAGCCUGGGCUGCUGCUCUUUCUGCUUCUUGCUUCUUCCGACACUCGGCUGCUGCCCGUUUUUCUUCUGACUUUUGCCUUGUCAUGGCUAUCUUCUUCAUCAUCUUCACUUCAGCUUGAGCUCUCAUUUGCUCAACUUGGGCCUCUACUCUCCGCAUUUCGGCAUCUAGCUUUGUUUUCUGCUGGCUUUCCCAUGCUUGGAUUUUGAUCUCUUCACGUUUAUAUCUUGCCAUAUGCUUAGACUUUUCAACUUCCUCCCACGCAGCAGCACGUUUUUCAAACUCUGCUCGCUCGAGUGCCUCCUUGUCAGCAUUUUCAACAUUCUGUCUUUUCUUUUCUGACUCAUCCUUACUUGCCCAGGCAGCAAUAUUUGACUUGCCAAGCUGCAUACCAAGUGCUAGAAUUUCUCUUCGUGUUUUGAGCUUCAUUUCAUCUUCUGAUAGUUCCUUUUUGCCAUUUUCUGUCGAUUUUUGCAACCCGGUUGGAGAUUGCUCGAUAGGAGUUGGAGCUGGUGCAUCUCUCCGAGGCGUGGAGGGAAUUGAAGAAGUCGGGCUGCGAAGUGGAGACGCCCCAACAGGAGUAGCUGUUCUUGAAGGCUCUUGGCUAGGAACUGGGGUCAUUUCUGUUCCCAUAUCUCUCAUUGAAACUGCUCUUAUUGCAGGGAUGCCUG